CUAAUAGAUCCCCCGGUGUGCAAACAACCACCCUUGUCAGAUGUCCUAUUCUUUUUGGCGGUUUCACACUUUUGUCUAAAAGCUGGCAUGUUCCACUUCUCUAAAAGACCAUUCCAGACAAUGUCUCCCAUCCACUCAGGUUUUUNCCCUUCUCUUCGAGCUUUUUUAAACAUCUCAGAUAAUCUAUGAGAUGCUUUGCUGUGGAAAUUUUUCUUAACCUUUUCUUCAUGUUCAAUGCUCCAUGAUACCUUUCUCUAUUGACAAAAAAGAUAAAUAA
rnacentral:lncRNA from 1 species